UACGUAGGGUGCGAGCGUUGUCCGGAAUUAUUGGGCGUAAAGAGCUCGUAGGCGGUCUGUCGCGUCGAUCGUGAAAACUUGGGGCUUAACCCUGAGCUUGCGGUCGAUACGGGCAUGACUGGAGUUCGGCAGGGGAGACUGGAAUUCCUGGUGUAGCGGUGAAAUGCGCAGAUAUCAGGAGGAACACCGGUGGCGAAGGCAGGUCGCUGGGACGAUACUGACGCUGAGAAGCGAAAGCGUGGGGAGCGAACAGG
rnacentral:rRNA from 1 species